AAGACUGAAAGGAUGGA
rnacentral:miRNA from 1 species